UACGUAGGGUCCGAGCGUUGUCCGGAAUUAUUGGGCGUAAAGAGCUCGUAGGCGGUUUGUCGCGUCUGCUGUGAAAUCCCGAGGCUCAACCUCGGGCCUGCAGUGGGUACGGGCAGACUGGAGUGCGGUAGGGGAGAAUGGAAUUCCUGGUGUAGCGGUGGAAUGCGCAGAUAUCAGGAGGAACACCGAUGGCGAAGGCAGGUCUCUGGGCCACUACUGACGCUGAGAAGCGAAAGCAUGGGGAGCGAACAGG
rnacentral:rRNA from 1 species